rnacentral:lncRNA from 1 species
GGUCCUCAGGGCUACACUGGGCACAAUAUUCUGAAGGCCCCGGGGGUGUUUUGCAAGCUCUGGAAGUGACUAGGAAAGCCUUGGCCACGGUCUCUGGGGGUGGUGGGGUGGGGAUACAAGCCCUUUGUUUCCCUAGAGACCUGGGGCAGCCCUCCCCGCUCUGCCUGCCGCUGACCCUGAGGACAGAACGUCCGGCCCCAGAGGAGGGCUGAUCCGCUGCCUUUCUAGACCCUCGAGAAAACGCCGUCCUGGGGAACGAGCCGCCGCGCUGACCGUUCUGUUUCCCUUUCUCUUCCAGGAGAGCACAAGCUUUUCCACGAGUUCCCAGGGAUGUCUGUACUGUGCCGGGCUAUUUUUGGGAGUCGGCGUGACGAAACCAUCAGAACUGUAAACAACCAGCUGUCACUCCGUGUCCCUGGUGCGUAAGGAGCCGGUCUUUCCAAAGGAAGGGCGUCAGGUGACGGGAGCCUGGCCGGCCCUCGCCUGGAAAUGUUCAAAACAGGAAGGAGUCCCUAGAGCAGAGGCCCGUUCCUGCCAAGGGCUAGACAGCAGUCCCAGGGGCCGGAGGCUGCUGUUGACUCACCUCUGGCCGCGUGAAGCAACAGCUCAGCUGCUCGUCCGAGAAGAGGCUGUGUGAUAACAAACAAGGUGGCGCGGCCCGCAGGCGGAGCAAACACUGCCCUGUGGCCCCGGCACGUGGCGGCCGCGGAGGGAGACCAGAGAAGCACAGAUGUGGCCCGCAGCCACACCCAGAGGCUCAGACUGUGGCUCCAGCUCCCGGCGCGCGGCCGCCGUGCCCGCCGCAGGGGCCCCGGGGAAAGAGGCUAAGGGGCUGGUGUGUCCUGGAGGGGACGGAGCCGGCUCCUGAAUGACCUGAACGUGCUCAGGAACCCGGGCCGCCCUUGGCUGAGCUCCGCAGCCUGCUGUGACCAGCACCCCCAGGGUCAGGCCGGCACGCGGAGGCCAUGCGUCGUCCUGACCGGAAGCAGCAGGGCUGAAGAGGCAUUCUUCUACCAGACAGCAACCAGCGUCCAGGAAUUAAAGCAAGUGCCCGGCCCCCACUCAAGGCUGAAGAUGCCUACGAGUGUCCCGUCGACGUGGGUGAGUCAGAUGGGCCCUCCACCUCCUCUCCUCGUCCAGCCCUCCUCCACGCGCGGAUAACCAGCUCAGCGGUCGGUGACGCGUGUCCUUCUGACGCAUCCACUGAUGUGUUGUGUAAAGAACGGCUGCGGGCAGGGGUGUUUCCCCCCUGCUGAGCACACCUGCCUUCCCUUCCACUGGCUCGCGGCCGCCCCCUGCUGCCCAGGACACGGAAACGUGGCUGCGCCCCAGAGGGGAAGCCGGAGGCAACUUUGUUCCUGAGAGACCCAGAUGGGAAAGACCUUGGGUGGCCUCAGCAGGUG